rnacentral:rRNA from 1 species
UUGUUCGGAAUUAUUGGGCGUAAAGCGCUUGUAGGCGGCCCGUCAAGUCGCGUGUGAAAUCCCCAGGCUUAACCUGGGAAGUGCGCGCGAAACUGACGAGCUUGAGUGCCGGAGAGGGUCGCGGAAUUCCCGGUGUAGAGGUGAAAUUCGUAGAUAUCGGGAGGAACACCAGUGGCGAAGGCGGCGACCUGGACGGACACUGACGCUGAGACGCGAAAGCGUGGGGAGCAAACAGG